rnacentral:rRNA from 1 species
UACGAAGGGGGCUAGCGUUGCUCGGAAUCACUGGGCGUAAAGGGUGCGUAGGCGGGUCUUUAAGUCAGGGGUGAAAUCCUGGAGCUCAACUCCAGAACUGCCUUUGAUACUGAGAUCUUGAGUUCGGGAGAGGUGAGUGGAACUGCGAGUGUAGAGGUGAAAUUCGUAGAUAUUCGCAAGAACACCAGUGGCGAAGGCGGCUCACUGGCCCGAUACUGACGCUGAGGCACGAAAGCGUGGGGAAGCAAACAGGG